ACACUCCUGCGGGAGGCAGCAGUGGGGAAUAUUGGACAAUGGGCGCAAGCCUGAUCCAGCCAUGCCGCGUGAGUGAUGAAGGCCCUAGGGUUGUAAAGCUCUUUCACCGGUGAAGAUAAUGACGGUAACCGGAGAAGAAGCCCCGGCUAACUUCGUGCCAGCAGCCGCGGUAAUACGAAGGGGGCUAGCGUUGUUCGGAUUUACUGGGCGUAAAGCGCACGUAGGCGGACUAUUAAGUCAGGGGUGAAAUCCCGGGGCUCAACCCCGGAACUGCCUUUGAUACUGGUAGUCUUGAGUUCGAGAGAGGUGAGUGGAAUUCCGAGUGUAGAGGUGAAAUUCGUAGAUAUUCGGAGGAACACCAGUGGCGAAGGCGGCUCACUGGCUCGAUACUGACGCUUAGGUGCGAAAGCGUGGGGAGCAAACAGGAUUAGAUACCCGAGUAGUCCCAUGAC
rnacentral:rRNA from 1 species